GCGGACGGGUGAGUAACGCGUGGGUAACCUGCCCUGUACACACGGAUAACAUACCGAAAGGUAUGCUAAUACGAGAUAAUAUGCUUUUAUCGCAUGGUAGAAGUAUCAAAGCUCCGGCGGUACAGGAUGGACCCGCGUCUGAUUAGCUAGUUGGUAAGGUAACGGCUUACCAAGGCGACGAUCAGUAGCCGACCUGAGAGGGUGAUCGGCCACAUUGGAACUGAGACACGGUCCAAACUCCUACGGGAGGCAGCAGUGGGGAAUAUUGCACAAUGGGCGAAAGCCUGAUGCAGCAACGCCGCGUGAGCGAUGAAGGCCUUCGGGUCGUAAAGCUCUGUCCUCAAGGAAGAUAAUGACGGUACUUGAGGAGGAAGCCCCGGCUAACUACGUGCCAGCAGCCGCGGUAAUACGUAGGGGGCUAGCGUUAUCCGGAAUUACUGGGCGUAAAGGGUGCGUAGGUGGUUUCUUAAGUCAGAGGUGAAAGGCUACGGCUCAACCGUAGUAAGCCUUUGAAACUGGGAAACUUGAGUGCAGGAGAGGAGAGUGGAAUUCCUAGUGUAGCGGUGAAAUGCGUAGAUAUUAGGAGGAACACCAGUUGCGAAGGCGGCUCUCUGGACUGUAACUGACACUGAGGCACGAAAGCGUGGGGAGCAAACAGGAUUAGAUACCCUGGUAGUCCACGCCGUAAACGAUGAGUACUAGCUGUCGGAGGUUACCCC
rnacentral:rRNA from 1 species